rnacentral:rRNA from 1 species
GACGAACGCUGGCGGCGUGCCUAAUACAUGCAAGUAGAACGCACAGUUUAUACCGUAGCUUGCUACACCAUAGACUGUGAGUUGCGAACGGGUGAGUAACGCGUAGGUAACCUGCCUGGUAGCGGGGGAUAACUAUUGGAAACGAUAGCUAAUACCGCAUAAUAUUGAUUAUUGCAUGAUAAUUGAUUGAAAGAUGCUAUUGCAUCACUACCAGAUGGACCUGCGUUGUAUUAGCUAGUAGGUGAGGUAACGGCUCACCUAGGCGACGAUACAUAGCCGACCUGAGAGGGUGAUCGGCCACACUGGGACUGAGACACGGCCCAGACUCCUACGGGAGGCAGCAGUAGGGAAUCUUCGGCAAUGGACGAAAGUCUGACCGAGCAACGCCGCGUGAGUGAAGAAGGUUGUCGGAUCGUAAAGCUCUGUUGUAAGAGAAGAACGGGUGUGAGAGUGGAAAGUUCACACUGUGACGGUAGCUUACCAGAAAGGGACGGCUAACUACGUG